AUCCAUAAAAAAACCAAAAGAAAUUAUAUCCUGUUUCUGUUCUUGUUCCUAUUGAAAACUCACUAAAAGUUCAUAUCUGUUUCAGGUACGAUCACAAGCAAGAGACGAACCGGCCAAUACCAUCCAUCCGAGGCAAGGCUGAACCGCGGAACGGCCAUCCGUCCGUUCGACCAUCCGACCCGUGCCUACAACAUUUUGGUAUCAGAGCUGAAGUUUCCUGCGAAACUCAGUUCUUUCUGAACCCUAGCCGUCACAAUUCAAAAAAAAAUAAAAUAUAUUUACUUUCCUUAUUUUUAAAUUUUCGGAUUGUUCUCCAAGUUUUCGAUUUUUGAAUUUAAAAAAAAAAAUUAAAAGAAGUUUUACUUUCUUUCCAAGUUUUCGGAAAAUCAAAAAAAAAAAUAUUCCCUCUUUCCUUUUUCAAACUUAAUCCGAUUUUUAUCAUAAAUUUUUGCAUUUACUCCUAGUCUUGGUCGAUACUCAAGUAUCCGAUCCAAGCUACUAUUUAAUCCCCUCUUGCCUCUAAUUUUUCUUUGAGUAUUUUUUCAGAGAAACCAUGGGAGAUGUAGGUCAAGAUCAAGCGGCCAUAAACGCUCAGCUCCUAGCCGACUAUGAAGAGUUGAGGGCGAGCCUUAGGGCUAUAACCGCCGAGCUUGCUCAGCUACGGCAGGGAGGCAGGCCCAAC
rnacentral:lncRNA from 1 species